CUCAGGUCCCCGUCCAUGCUGUGGAAGCUUUGUUCUUUUGCUAUUCAAAAUAAACCUUGCUACCACUCACUCUUUGCAUCUGUGCCAUCUUUAAGAGUGGUAGCACUCACCGCGAAGGUCCACAGCUUCAUUCUUGAAGUCAGUGACACCACAAAUCCACUGGAAGGAACCAACUCUGGACACAUCUUGGGGGCUUGCCUGGGGUAUCACCACAUGGAUUGAGGCCAUCAAGCUACAGAUGGCCUUACAAAUGGAACCCCAAAUAAGCUCAACUCACAACUUCUACUGAGGACUUUGGAUGGAUCCACUGGCCCUUUGACUGUCUUAGAGAGUUCCCCUCUGGAGGACACUGCAACUUUAGGGCCAUUUCUCCACCCCUAUCCAGCAGGAAGUAGCUACAGCUGUCAUUGCCCUAUUCCCAACAGCAGUUGGAGUGUCCUGUUUAGAGGGGGGAUUGAAAGGUGAAGCCAGCUGGACUUCCUGGGUCAAGUGGGGGACUCGGAGAACUUUUCUGUCUUACAAGAGGAUUGUAAAAUGCAUCAGUCAGUGCUCUGUAGCUAGCAAGGGGAUUGUAAAAUGCACAAAUCAGCACUCUGUAGCUAGCAAGGAGAUUGUAAAAUGCAUCAAUAGCACUCUGUAAAAUGCAUCAAUCAGUGGGGGUCUAAAAGUAGCUAAUUGCAGGGAGGACUGAAAAAAGGGCACUCUGAUAGGACAGAAAUGGUACAUGGGAGGGGACAAAUAAGGGAAUAAAAGCUGGUCACCCCAGCCAGCUGUGUCAACCUGCUUGGGUCCUCUUCCAUGCUGUGGAAGCUUUGUUGUUUUGCUCUUCAUGAUAAACCUUGCUACUGCUCACCCUUUGUAUCCUGUGC
rnacentral:lncRNA from 1 species